GUACACAAAAAUGCACAUAUUGUGAGCUCGAUGAGUAGGGCGGGACACGUGGUAUCCUGUCUGAAUAUGGGGGGACCAUCCUCCAAGGCUAAAUACUCCUGACUGACCGAUAGUGAACCAGUACCGUGAGGGAAAGGCGAAAAGAACCCCGGCGAGGGGAGUGAAAAAGAACCUGAAACCGUGUACGUACAAGCAGUGGGAGCCUCUUUAUGGGGUGACUGCGUACCUUUUGUAUAAUGGGUCAGCGACUUAUAUUCUGUAGCAAGGUUAACCGAAUAGGGGAGCCGAAGGGAAACCGAGUCUUAACUGGGCGUUAAGUUGCAGGGUAUAGACCCGAAACCCGGUGAUCUAGCCAUGGGCAGGUUGAAGGUUGGGUAACACUAACUGGAGGACCGAACCGACUAAUGUUGAAAAAUUAGCGGAUGACUUGUGGCUGGGGGUGAAAGGCCAAUCAAACCGGGAGAUAGCUGGUUCUCCCCGAAAGCUAUUUAGGUAGCGCCUCGUGAAUUCAUCUCCGGGGGUAGAGCACUGUUUCGGCAAGGGGGUCAUCCCGACUUACCAACCCGAUGCAAACUGCGAAUACCGGAGAAUGUUAUCACGGGAGACACACGGCGGGUGCUAACGUCCGUCGUGAAGAGGGAAACAACCCAGACCGCCAGCUAAGGUCCCAAAGUCAUGGUUAAGUGGGAAACGAUGUGGGAAGGCCCAGACAGCCAGGAUGUUGGCUUAGAAGCAGCCAUCAUUUAAAGAAAGCGUAAUAGCUCACUGGUCGAGUCGGCCUGCGCGGAAGAUGUAACGGGGCUAAACCAUGCACCGAAGCUGCGGCAGCGACACUAUGUGUUGUUGGGUAGGGGAGCGUUCUGUAAGCCUGUGAAGGUGGCCUGUGAGGGUUGCUGGAGGUAUCAGAAGUGCGAAUGCUGACAUAAGUAACGAUAAAGCGGGUGAAAAGCCCGCUCGCCGGAAGACCAAGGGUUCCUGUCCAACGUUAAUCGGGGCAGGGUGAGUCGACCCCUAAGGCGAGGCCGAAAGGCGUAGUCGAUGGGAAACAGGUUAAUAUUCCUGUACUUGGUGUUACUGCGAAGGGGGGACGGAGAAGGCUAUGUUGGCCGGGCGACGGUUGUCCCGGUUUAAGCGUGUAGGCUGGUUUUCCAGGCAAAUCCGGAAAACCAAGGCUGAGGCGUGAUGACGAGGCACUACGGUGCUGAAGCGACAAAUGCCCUGCUUCCAGGAAAAGCCUCUAAGCAUCAGGUAACAUCAAAUCGUACCCCAAACCGACACAGGUGGUCAGGUAGAGAAUACCAAGGCGCUUGAGAGAACUCGGGUGAAGGAACUAGGCAAAAUGGUGCCGUAACUUCGGGAGAAGGCACGCUGAUAUGUAGGUGAAGCGACUUGCUCGUGGAGCUGAAAUCAGUCGAAGAUACCAGCUGGCUGCAACUGUUUAUUAAAAACACAGCACUGUGCAAACACGAAAGUGGACGUAUACGGUGUGACGCCUGCCCGGUGCCGGAAGGUUAAUUGAUGGGGUUAGCGGUAACGCGAAGCUCUUGAUCGAAGCCCCGGUAAACGGCGGCCGUAACUAUAACGGUCCUAAGGUAGCGAAAUUCCUUGUCGGGUAAGUUCCGACCUGCACGAAUGGCGUAAUGAUGGCCAGGCUGUCUCCACCCGAGACUCAGUGAAAUUGAACUCGCUGUGAAGAUGCAGUGUACCCGCGGCAAGACGGAAAGACCCCGUGAACCUUUACUAUAGCUUGACACUGAACAUUGAGCCUUGAUGUGUAGGAUAGGUGGGAGGCUUUGAAGUGUGGACGCCAGUCUGCAUGGAGCCGACCUUGAAAUACCACCCUUUAAUGUUUGAUGUUCUAACGUUGGCCCGUAAUCCGGGUUGCGGACAGUGUCUGGUGGGUAGUUUGACUGGGGCGGUCUCCUCCUAAAGAGUAACGGAGGAGCACGAAGGUUGGCUAAUCCUGGUCGGACAUCAGGAGGUUAGUGCAAUGGCAUAAGCCAGCUUGACUGCGAGCGUGACGGCGCGAGCAGGUGCGAAAGCAGGUCAUAGUGAUCCGGUGGUUCUGAAUGGAAGGGCCAUCGCUCAACGGAUAAAAGGUACUCCGGGGAUAACAGGCUGAUACCGCCCAAGAGUUCAUAUCGACGGCGGUGUUUGGCACCUCGAUGUCGGCUCAUCACAUCCUGGGGCUGAAGUAGGUCCCAAGGGUAUGGCUGUUCGCCAUUUAAAGUGGUACGCGAGCUGGGUUUAGAACGUCGUGAGACAGUUCGGUCCCUAUCUGCCGUGGGCGCUGGAGAACUGAGGGGGGCUGCUCCUAGUACGAGAGGACCGGAGUGGACGCAUCACUGGUGUUCGGGUUGUCAUGCCAAUGGCACUGCCCGGUAGCUAAAUGCGGAAGAGAUAAGUGCUGAAAGCAUCUAAGCACGAAACUUGCCCCGAGAUGAGUUCUCCCUGACUCCUUGAGAGUCCUGAAGGAACGUUGAAGACGACGACGUUGAUAGGCCGGGUGUGUAAGCGCAGCGAUGCGUUGAGCUAACCGGUACUAAUGAACCGUGAGGCUUAACCUU
rnacentral:rRNA from 1 species